AAAUUGAAGAGUUUGAUCAUGGCUCAGAUUGAACGCUGGCGGCAGGCCUAACACAUGCAAGUCGAACGGUAACGG
rnacentral:rRNA from 1 species